rnacentral:rRNA from 1 species
AUACGGAGGAUCCGAGCGUUAUCCGGAUUUAUUGGGUUUAAAGGGUGCGCAGGCGGCCAUUUAAGUCAGCGGUUAAAUCGUGGGGCUCAACCCCAUUCUGCCGUUGAUACUGGGUGGCUUGAUUGCGGUCGAGGUUGGCGGAAUUCGUUGUGUAGCGGUGAAAUGCAUAGAUAUGACGAAGAACACCGAUUGCGUAGGCAGCUGACCAGAUCGCAAAUGACGCUCAUGCACGAAAGUGCGGGGAUCGAACAGGAUUAGAUACCCUGGUAGUCCGCACAGUAAACGAUGAAUACGUGAUUUCGGCGAUAUAAUGUCGGAGGCAAAGCGAAAGCGAUAAGUAGUCCACCUGGGGAGUACGCCGGCAACGGUGAAACUCAAAUGAACUGGCGGGG